rnacentral:ncRNA from 1 species
UAACCACUGGCGAUAACCGUGUAUGUUG